rnacentral:rRNA from 2 species
CUGCCUGUAAGACUGGGAUAACUCCGGGAAACCGGGGCUAAUACCGGAUGGUUGUUUGAACCGCAUGGUUCAAACAUAAAAGGUGGCUUCGGCUACCACUUACAGAUGGACCCGCGGCGCAUUAGCUAGUUGGUGAGGUAACGGCUCACCAAGGCAACGAUGCGUAGCCGACCUGAGAGGGUGAUCGGCCACACUGGGACUGAGACACGGCCCAGACUCCUACGGGAGGCAGCAGUAGGGAAUCUUCCGCAAUGGACGAAAGUCUGACGGAGCAACGCCGCGUGAGUGAUGAAGGUUUUCGGAUCGUAAAGCUCUGUUGUUAGGGAAGAACAAGUACCGUUCGAAUAGGGCGGUACCUUGACGGUACCUAACCAGAAAGCCACGGCUAACUACGUGCCAGCAGCCGCGGUAAUACGUAGGUGGCAAGCGUUGUCCGGAAUUAUUGGGCGUAAAGGGCUCGCAGGCGGUUUCUUAAGUCUGAUGUGAAAGCCCCCGGCUCAACCGGGGAGGGUCAUUGGAAACUGGGGAACUUGAGUGCAGAAGAGGAGA